UACGAAGGGGGGCUAGCGUUGCUCGGAAUGACUGGGCGUAAAGGGCGCGUAGGCGGAUGGCUUUGUCGGGCGUGAAAUUCCAGGGCUUAACCUUGGGGCUGCGUUCGAGACGGGUUGUCUUGAGUGGGGAAGAGGGUCGUGGAAUUCCCAGUGUAGAGGUGAAAUUCGUAGAUAUUGGGAAGAACACCGGUGGCGAAGGCGGCAUCCUGGACCGGCAUUGACGCUGAGGCGCGAAAGCCAGGGGGAGCAAACGGG
rnacentral:rRNA from 1 species